rnacentral:rRNA from 1 species
CCAAUAGCGUGUAUUAAAGUUGUUGCAGUUAAAAAGCUCGUAGUUGAAUUUCGGGAUCAAUUUGCCGGUCGAGACCUCUGGUACGUACUUGUAUUAUUGAUUUCUUUCAUUCUGAUAAAUCAUUGAUGUCAUUAAUUUGAUGACUUUGAGGAAUCGGAACUUUUACUUUGAAAAAAUUAGAGUGUUUAAAGCAGGCUUAUUAGGCUUGAAUACAUUAGCAUGGAAUAAUGAAAUAGGACGAUUGAUCCUAUUUUUGUUGGUUUCUAGGAUUGACGUAAUGAUUAAUAGGGAUAGUUGGGGGCAUUAGUAUUCAAUUGUCAGAGGUGAAAUUCUUGGAUUUAUUGAAGACUAACUACUGCGAAAGCAUUUGCCAAGGAUGUUUUCAUUAAUCAAGAACGAAAGUUAGGGGAUCGAAGACGAUCAGAUACCGUCGUAGUCUUAACCAUAAACUAUGCCGACUAGGGAUCGGAUGAUGUUAAUUUUUUUAAUGACUCAUUCGGCGCCUUACG